rnacentral:rRNA from 1 species
AUUGAACGCUGGCGGCAUGCUUUACACAUGCAAGUCGAACGGUAACAGGCCGCAAGGUUCUGACGAGUGGCGAACGGGUGAGUAAUGCAUCGGAACGUGCCCAGUCGUGGGGGAUAACUACUCGAAAGAGUAGCUAAUACAGCAUACGUUCUAUGGGUGAGAGCGGGGGACCGUAACGCCUCGCGGGAUUGGAGCGGCCGAUGUCAGAUUAGGUAGUUGGUGGGGUAAAGGCUCACCAAGCCAAAGUUCUGUAGCUGGUCUGAGAGGACGACCAGCCACAGUGGGACUGAGACACGGCCCAGACUCCUACGGGAGGCAGCAGUGGGGAAUUUUGGACAAUGGGCGCAAGCCUGAUCCAGCAAUGCCACGUGCAGGAAGAAGGCCUUCGGGUUGUAAACUGCUUUUGUACGGAACGAAACGGCUCUGGUUAAUACCCGGGGCUAAUGACGGUACCGUAAGAAUAAGCACCGGCUAACUACGUG